UAUCUCUGUAGAGUCUGCAUAUCAAUAAGCGGAGGAAAAGAAACUAACUAGGAUUCCCUAGUAACGGCGAGUGAAGCGGGAAGAGCUCAAAUUUGAAAUCUUCAAGGUUUGACCUUGACGAAUUGUAGUUUAAAGAAGUGUUUUCGGUUAGAGGAGUGGUAAAAGUUCUUUGGAAUAGGACAUCAUAGAGGGUGAGAAUCCCGUAUUUGACCAUUCUUUCUAGCUUUGUGAUACACUUUCAAAGAGUCGGAUUGUUUGGGAAUGCAGUCCAAAAUGGGUGGUAAAUUUCAUCUAAAGCUAAAUAUUGGCGAGAGACCGAUAGCGAACAAGUACCGUGAGGGAAAGAUGAAAAGAACUUUGAAAAGAGAGUUAAACAGUACGUGAAAUUGUCAAAAGGGAAGCGUUUGACACCAGUGUUGUUUUUCCGAAAAUCAAUUAAAAAUGGAUUCAUGCUAAGUUGUAUUGACCUUAUCAGCUUGCAAUUUAGUUUUGGGUUUCUUUUUGGUGCACUUUUCGGUUAACAAGUCAACAUCAAUUUCCUUUGCUGUAAAAAGGCAGGAGGAAGGUGGCUUCAACUUCGGUUGAAGUGUUUAUAGCCUUCUGUCUCUGCAGUCGGGGAGAUUGAGGUCUGCAGCGUAGAUCCUUCGGGGCUAGAUACAUUCGUGCUAAGUUAUAGCCUUUUAUAGACAACUUGUUGACUAUGAUUGGUCUUGUAAUUUACUCGCGAGUGCUAUUUUACCUACGCUUAGGAUGUUGAUCUACAGAGCGAGAGU
rnacentral:rRNA from 1 species